AUUGAACGCUGGCGGCAGGCCUAACACAUGCAAGUCGAGCGGAUGAAGGGAGCUUGCUCCUGGAUUCAGCGGCGGACGGGUGAGUAACGCCUAGGAAUCUGCCUGGUAGUGGGGGAUAACGUCCGGAAACGGGCGCUAAUACCGCAUACGUCCUGAGGGAGAAAGUGGGGGAUCUUCGGACCUCACGCUAUCAGAUGAGCCUAGGUCGGAUUAGCUAGUUGGUGGGGUAAAGGCCUACCAAGGCGACGAUCCGUAACUGGCCUGAGAGGAUGAUCAGUCACACUGGAAGUGAGACACGGUCCAGACUCCUACGGGAGGCAGCAGUGGGGAAUAUUGGACCAUGGGCGAAAGCCUGAUCCAGCCAUGCCGCGUGUGUGAAGAAGGUCUUCGGAUUGUAAAGCACUUUAAGUUGGGAGGAAGGGCAGUAAGUUAAUACCUUGCUGUUUUGACGUUACCAGCAGAAUAAGCACCGGCUAACUUCGUG
rnacentral:rRNA from 1 species